UGCGUAGGCGGCUUGGUUAAGUCAGAUGUGAAAUCCUGGGGCUCAACCUCGGAACUGCAUUUGAUACUGCCAGGCUAGAGUACUGGAGAGGAGACUGGAAUUUACGGUGUAGCAGUGAAAUGCGUAGAUAUCGUAAGGAAGGCCAGUGGCGAAGGCGAGUCUCUGGACAGUAACUGACGCUGAGGCACGAAGGCUAGGGGAGCAAACG
rnacentral:rRNA from 1 species